GGCAAGCGGCGGAGACCACUUGCUCGUGGUGUGAGCCAUGGCAAGAAGUCCAAUGUUUCGCAUUGUGAUCCUGGUGCCUCACAGAGUUGUGUUAGUGAUGACGACUUUGUCUUGCCACCUUUGGCCUUCCUUGCUAGGUUGCAAGAAGACUCGGUGUGGAAUGCCCCCGAUGAUGAGCUGAAUGCCAAAGAGGAUGCAACGUUUCCUCGAGUCAAGACUAGGACACGACUUUUAUUUUGGUUGAGGCUCUUAGAGACUUGUCAUCUCAGAAGAAGAAUGAUAUUACAGGCCUCGGUUUUGGCUCGUUAGACAUGUAUUUUCCACUACGUACUUCCCGAGGUUCUCACAUGAUGUUGAUUAGACAUGUAAUGUUUCCAUUUUUGGUGCGGUGGUACUUUUUGCACACAAUUUUGAUUACUUUUGACAGUUUAUGUUAAUCUACAACCUAUGCGUAUGAUCCGGUUGCUUGGUUUUUGUGAAAUCCCUUAUCUAAAUUAGUGUAUUCGUGC